rnacentral:rRNA from 1 species
GGAAUCUGGGAUAACAUUUCGAAAGGGGUGCUAAUACCGGAUAAGACCACGAGCUCUUUGGAGUUUGCGGUAAAAGGGGGCCUCUGUAUAUGCUUCUGUUUCAAGAUGAGUCCGCGUACCAUUAGCUAGUUGGCAGGGUAAUGGCCCACCAAGGCGACGAUGGUUAGCUGGUCUGAGAGGAUGAUCAGCCCCCCUGUUGGAUAAGACACGGUCCAGACUCCUACGGGAGGCAGCAGUGGGGAAUUUUGCGCAAUG